UGGCGGACGGGUGAGUAACGCGUGGGUAACCUGCCUCACACUGGGGGACAACAGUUAGAAAUGACUGCUAAUACCGCAUAAGCGCACAGGACCGCAUGGUCCGGUGUGAAAAACUCCGGUGGUGUGAGAUGGACCCGCGUUUGAUUAGCUAGUUGGUGGGGUAACGGCCUACCAAGGCGACGAUCAAUAGCCGACCUGAGAGGGUGACCGGCCACAUUGGGGCUGAGACACGGCCCAA
rnacentral:rRNA from 1 species